CCGCGGCGCGCCGCGCGAGACUUACUUAUAGUCGCAACGUCGUGCCGUGGCGCGGCGCGGCGUCACGCCUCCGGAAGGGACUCCAACGGCUCCUCCUCAGGACUCGUACAUUAUGUGCGUAACUGGUGCCUUCUCUUCUUUUGCUCCGUUCCCUCUCGCUUUUCCGUCAUACACGGACGCCUCUUUUUAUCGAUGAUCCGUUUAUCUCUCGUAAGACGGUCAGCCGGAAGCUUUCGUCGCGCGAAACAACCGCGCGGUGGCCGCGGGCAGCGCGGCGCAGCGCCACUUCCGUCGGACUCAAGGAGCCGCCACCCUUUCGUCGCGGCGUAAUUAAACGAGAGUUUCUUCUACGAGCGUUGACGCCGGCAAUCCCGGGACAGCACAGUUUCACUUUUUUACACUGUACGUGAUAUCGACGCGGAUUCUUGCAGCUCGGUUUGGGCUGUUGGACGGGGGUCGAGAGUGAAACUUUCAUCCCUGAGAUGUUUUUCUCGAAUGAAGUUAACGAGAUAUCUAAAUUAUUACCGAAGUGGAAGGAAUGUUUGGAAUAUAAACAGAACUGUUGUACCAACAACACUUACAAGAAUCGAUAAGGUUAAUGGACGGUCAAAGAAGAUCAAUAGAGACGCUGCUCGAUUUUGCGGAACAUAUACUCCGAUGCGGAUCGAAGCAUCGCGCGUCAGAUCGACACGACUUGCAAUGCGAUGCACGACCGUUUUACACCGGUGUCCAGACAACUGAUGAUCUGCGCGCAGAGACACUGUCAACAAUCACCGGGUAAUGAUCACCGAGUUAUCGGGAAGAAGGAUCGAAAGGUGACGAAAAAAAAAUGGAAAGAAUGAAAUGAAAAAAUGAACGAAGGCGAACAUCCGCGAUCGAAGUUUUUCUCGACGACAGCACCGAACGCUCGGUGCCGACGUACUGCAUAUGCGAAGGCAGUGUUUGCACCGAUAACGAGAGCAUUGCUCAACUUUUGACCUUUGCUUAGCUGCUCCGGGGUCCGCAGGCUGAAAAGAAAAUACCAGAUAAUUCGCUAGCGGGUACUUCUCUAUUUCUUUUCACGCUUCUCCCCUUCCCCUCCGACCUCGCCGUAACUAUGGACCGUCUCUUUCCAGGCUCCGCGUCUCUCGUCUUUCUCGCUCCAUUGCAGUGGCUAGUAGACCACGUAACGAGCGACACAGGGACCGCGUGAAACGAUCGCGAUACCUAGCAAGCAAAGUCGCAUCGUAAUUGUAUCUCGAUGAUUAUUCGGGGAUCGAAGAUGCGAGAACGAUCCGUGUAUUUAAUUACCUCGAGUCAUGUUAUUUCAAAAACGACGAUGUGCGAAUUGUUAGACCACUGUUGUGAAAAAGCAAACAACAAAAUCGUCUUGCUUUUCUUUUGCUUGUUUUUGUUACAUCCUGUUCGCACUUCGUUAACUUGUACUUAAGGUAUUUUUAAUGCGACAUGCGUAAUUUUGGUAUUUUUAAUGAUAAUAUUACCGUUUGGCAAGAUUUUUUAUUAAUUUUUUUGCUGCUCCUUUCGAUUUCCUCCAAGCUGCUCUGUUUUACCAGUUAAAUUCCUGCGUGAACAGUUUGUGAACACUUCCGUUAAUAUUUUCAUCUUAAUCAGUUAAUUGUGUUUGAAGAGUAUACAGAUCAUCUUGAAACCCAAAAUAAUACUAAUUUUUUAGAGAAGGAACGCUCUGUGCAUUAUCGGACAAUGUCAACUUAUUCUCCGUUUCAACCUAUGGUUUCCAUUCAUUCCUUCCACAUUUCAAAUUUAAAACACGUCAAUUAUCUCUUGUUUAGCACUAACCGUACUGGCACUUUGUAUAUAUCUGUUCUUACCGUAACCACUCAAAUAACUAGCUACAAAAUAAAGGUAAAUAAGUUCAAUGACAAAUUGUUCUUGGUGAAAAGAGAAACGAAAGGAAAGACAAACAUUGAAAAACUGAUUAAUCAGCAAAUAUAGGAAUUGAUGUAAAAUUAAAUGAACGGAAGAAAACGUAGAAUUUUAAAUCAAAUUUUAAAACCGGUCGUUUGAUCGGUUUGAGGUACGAUUAGUGUUAAAGUCCUUAUCAGAUAACAUAGCCAAAUAAAGGAUGUUCAUAAUUUCUAGUUCAUAACUGUGAAUUUAUGCGUUUGCCUAUAAUAAUAGACGAGAUUGCCUAGAAGUCAGGGUAUAUAAUUUACUAAACAUAAUUCAUCGAUACGUUUAUUUAUCUGCAUGCAGUAUCCUAAAUGAGAAAACCAAUUUCGUGAGUCUAAUUUCUUUAAAUUCAUCCUAAGAAAUCUGUAUUUACAUAAAUCGUCUGCAGUCUGUUCACAACUUCGUUUCACGAUUAUAUUAACCUUCUGCGAUCGAAUGUCGUCGUAAUGACAACUUCGAACUGUCAUAUCUAAA